UAAGGAAUAUUGGUCAAUGGAGGCAACUCUGAACCAGCCAUGCCGCGUGCAGGAAGAAGGCCCUAUGGGUCGUAAACUGCUUUUGAACAAGAGAAAACCCCGGUACGUGUACUGGGUUGAUAGUAUUGUUAGAAUAAGCAUCGGCUAACUUCGUGCCAGCAGCCGCGGUAAGACGAAGGAUGCAAGCGUUAUCCGGAUUCAUUGGGUUUAAAGGGUGCGUAGGCGGACUGAUAAGUCAGUGGUGAAAUCUCUCGGCUUAACCGAGAAACUGCCAUUGAUACUGUUAGUCUAGAGUACAGAUGAUGUGGGCGGAAUAUGACAUGUAGUGGUGAAAUACUUAGAUAUGUCAUAGAACACCGAUUGCGAAGGCAGCUCACAAAACUGUAACUGACGCUGAGGCACAAAAGUGCGGGGAUCAAACAGGAUUAGAUACCCUCGUAGUCCCUGAGCGGGCUGGCAAGGCGCAU
rnacentral:rRNA from 1 species